AUUGAACGCUGGCGGCAUGCUUUACACAUGCAAGUCGAACGGCAGCACAGGGAGCUUGCUCCUGGGUGGCGAGUGGCGAACGGGUGAGUAAUGUAUCAGAACGUGCCUGGUAGUGGGGGAUAACUACUCGAAAGAGUGGCUAAUACCGCAUGAGAUCUUUGGAUGAAAGCGGGGGACCUUCGGGCCUCGUGCUACUGGAGCGGCCGAUAUCAGAUUAGGUUGUUGGUGGGGUAAAGGCCUACCAAGCCUGCGAUCUGUAGCUGGUCUGAGAGGACGACCAGCCACACUGGGACUGAGACACGGCCCAGACUCCUACGGGAGGCAGCAGUGGGGAAUUUUGGACAAUGGGCGCAAGCCUGAUCCAGCAAUGCCGCGUGCAGGACGAAGGCCUUCGGGUUGUAAACUGCUUUUGUACAGAACGAAAAGUCUCUGGCUAAUAUCUAGAGAUCAUGACGGUACUGUAAGAAUAAGCACCGGCUAACUACGUG
rnacentral:rRNA from 1 species